rnacentral:rRNA from 1 species
UACGUAGGGGGCGAGCGUUGUCCGAAGUUACUGGGCGUAAAGAGCGCGUAGGCGGGUUUUUAAGUGAGGGGUGAAAUUUCGGGGCUCAACCCCGGAACUGCCUUUCAUACUGGAAACCUUGAGUGCGGGAGAGGCGAGUGGAAUGGUUGGUGUAGCGGUGAAAUGCGUAGAUAUCAAUCGGAACACCCAUGGCGAAGGCAGCUCGCUGGCCUGUAACUGACGCUGAGGCGCGAAAGCGUGGGGAGCAAACAGG